rnacentral:tRNA from 1 species
AUCUGGCUGGCUCAGCUGGUAGAGCAUGUGACUCUUCAUCUCAGGGUCGUGAGUUCAAGUCCCACGUUGGGCA